rnacentral:rRNA from 1 species
GACGAACGCUGGCGGCGUGCCUAAUACAUGCAAGUCGAACGAGAGCGACCGGUGCUUGCACUGGUCAAUCUAGUGGCGAACGGGUGAGUAACACGUGGGUAACCUUCCCAUCAGAGGGGGAUAACAUCCGGAAACGGAUGCUAAAACCGCAUAGGUCUUCGAGCCGCAUGGCUUGAAGAGGAAAAGAGGCGCAAGCUUCUGCUGAUGGAUGGACCCGCGGUGCAUGAGCUAGUUGGUGAGGUAACGGCUCACCAAGGCCGUGAUGCAUAGCCGACCUGAGAGGGUGAUCGGCCACAUUGGAACUGAGACACGGCCCAAACUCCUACGGGAGGCAGCAGUAGGGAAUCUUCCGCAAUGGACGCAAGUCUGACGGAGCAACGCCGCGUGAGUGAAGAAGGUUUUCGGAUCGUAAAACUCUGUUGUUAGAGAAGAACAAGUGCUAGAGUAACUGUUAGCGCCUUGACGGUAUCUAACCAGAAAGCCACGGCUAACUACGUG